rnacentral:tRNA from 2 species
UGGGGGGUCGUAUAACGGUAGUACAGCGCCCUCUGGAGGCGUUUAUCGGGGUUCGAAUCCCUGCCCCCCAGCCA